rnacentral:rRNA from 1 species
UACGGAGGGUGCAAGCGUUAAUCGGAAUUACUGGGCGUAAAGGGUGCGUAGGUGGUUUGAUAAGUUAACUGUGAAAGCCCUGGGCUCAACCUGGGAAGGCCAGUUAAGACUGUUGGACUAGAGUAUGGGAGAGGAUAGUGGAAUUUCCGGUGUAGCGGUGAAAUGCGUAGAGAUCGGAAGGAACACCAGUGGCGAAGGCGGCUAUCUGGCCUAAUACUGACACUGAAGCACGAAAGCGUGGGGAGCAAACAGG